rnacentral:rRNA from 1 species
CGUGUAGGCGGUUGGGCGAGUCAGAUGUGAAAGUCUUCCGCUCAACGGGAGAAGGGCAUUUGAAACUACCCGGCUAGAGUACGGGAGAGGAGAGUGGAAUUCCCGGUGUAGAGGUGAAAUUCGUAGAUAUCGGGAGGAACACCAGUGGCGAAGGCGGUUCUCUGGUCCGAUACUGACGCUGAGACGCGAAAGCGUGGGGAGCAAACAGGAUUAGAUACCCUGGUAGUCCACGCCGUAAACGAUGGGCACUAGGUGUAGGAGGUAUUGACCCCUUCUGUGCCGAAGCUAACGCAUUAAGUGCCCCGCCUGGGGAGUACGGCCGCAAGGCUAAA